UAGACGCCUAAGGGGACGCCUCCACCACC
rnacentral:sRNA from 1 species